GACGAACCGUGCGAACGUUGUUCGGAAUCACUGGGCUUAAAGGGCGCGUAGGCGGCUCGCCAAGUCAGGGGUGAAAUCCUCCAGCUCAACUGGAGAAGUGCCUUUGAUACUGGCGGGCUCGAGCGAGGUAGGGGCGGGUGGAACUUCCGGUGGAGCGGUGAAAUGCGUUGAUAUCGGAAGGAACGCCGGUGGCGAAAGCGACCCGCUGGGCCUCUUCUGACGCUGAGGCGCGAAAGCUAGGGUAGCGAACGGG
rnacentral:rRNA from 1 species